UGAGGAAUAUUGGUCAAUGGGCGCAAGCCUGAACCAGCCAAGUAGCGUGAGGGAAGACUGCCCUAUGGGUUGUAAACCUCUUUUGUGCGGGGAUAAAGUGUGGGACGUGUCCCAUAUUGCAGGUACCGCACGAAUAAGGACCGGCUAAUUCCGUGCCAGCAGCCGCGGUAAUACGGAAGGUCCGGGCGUUAUCCGGAUUUAUUGGGUUUAAAGGGAGCGCAGGCCGUCCUUUAAGCGUGCUGUGAAAUGCCGCGGCUCAACCGUGGCACUGCAGCGCGAACUGGAGGACUUGAGUACGCACGAGGUAGGCGGAAUUCGUGGUGUAGCGGUGAAAUGCUUAGAUAUCACGAAGAACUCCGAUUGCGAAGGCAGCUUACCGGAGCGCAACUGACGCUGAGGCUCGAAAGCGCGGGUAUCGAACAGGAUUAGAUACCCUGGUAGUCCGCGCGGUAAACGAUGGAUGCCCGCCGUUGGGUUUUAGAAUUCAGCGGCCAAGCGAAAGCGUUAAGCAUCCCACCUGGGGAGUACGCCGGCAACGGUGAAACUCAAAGGAAUUGACGGGGGCCCGCACAAGCGGAGGAACAUGUGGUUUAAUUCGAUGAUACGCGAGGAACCUUACCCGGGCUUGAAUUGCAGGAGAACGAUCCAGAGAUGGUGAGGCCCUUCGGGGCUCCUGUGAAGGUGCUGCAUGGUUGUCGUCAGCUCGUGCCGUGAGGUGUCGGCUCAAGUGCCAUAACGAGCGCAACCCCUGUCCAUAGUUGCCAUCAGGUCGUGCUGGGCACUCUGUGGAGACUGCCGCCGUAAGGUAUGAGGAAGGUGGGGAUGACGUCAAAUCAGCACGGCCCUUACGUCCGGGGCUACACACGUGUUACAAUGGGGCAUACAGCGAGUUGGAUGUGCGCAAGUACGUCCGGAUCAAUAAAGUGCCUCUCAGUUCGGACUGGGGUCUGCAACCCGACCCCACGAAGCUGGAUUCGCUAGUAAUCGCGCAUCAGCCAUGGCGCGGUGAAUACGUUCCC
rnacentral:rRNA from 1 species